rnacentral:rRNA from 1 species
UACGUAGGGGGGCAAGCGUUGUCCGGAAUCAUUGGGCGUAAAGAGCGUGUAGGCGGCUCGAUAAGUCUGCUGUGAAAGUCCAGGGCUCAACCCUGGAAGGCCGGUGGAAACUGUCGGGCUAGAGUCCGGAAGAGGCGAGUGGAAUUCCCGGUGUAGCGGUGAAAUGCGCAGAUAUCGGGAGGAACACCAAUGGCGAAGGCAGCUCGCUGGGACGGUACUGACGCUGAGACGCGAAAGCGUGGGGAGCGAACAGG